GUAAGAGAACCAGCACAAAAUUCUGUUUGUUUCUUCUGACUGAACAAACUUUAUUCCAGUUUCAUCAUUGAGAAAUCAACGUAGCAGUCUUGGACAAUUCUAUUGGAAAACAGAAUUUCCUUUACAGUGGAGAUCUAUGUAACCGGAUAUUAUCUGUCCUGUUGAUCAGUGGCUGUUCCCAAGCUGUGGAAUCACCUUCCUUGGG